rnacentral:rRNA from 1 species
UACGUAGGGUGCAAGCGUUAAUCGGAAUUACUGGGCGUAAAGCGUGCGCAGGCGGUUAUGUAAGACAGAUGUGAAAUGCCCGGGCUUAACCUGGGAAUUGCAUUUGUGACUGCAUAGCUAGAGUACGGUAGAGGGGGAUGGAAUUCCGCGUGUAGCAGUGAAAUGCGUAGAUAUGCGGAGGAACACCGAUGGCGAAGGCAAUCCCCUGGACCUGUACUGACGCUCAUGCACGAAAGCGUGGGGAGCAAACAGG